rnacentral:lncRNA from 1 species
UUGUACAGGAAACCCUAACUCCAAUAGAAUACAAUACCAGGCCAUCUUUCUAUCCCAGCCGCCACCCCUCUCUCCCCUCAUUCUACAGGAUCUCCCAUAAACAGGGGGGAAAAGUUAACAAAACAACCAACAAUACUGGUGCCAGGACUCGACAAACGAAAUUCCACAUGCUCAGGAUCUUGACAUCAAUCGCCUGAGGUGUACCCACCCAGUCACCGCUUCAGUAAUCCUUUUCUCAAUGUUGCUUAGCCAGGAAACUUUUGCAAGGAACAGUUUUGCAAGGAACAACAUUGCAUGUAAAUCACAAACAUAUAUCUACUAAAAACUAGUGUUGUUUCCUCCCUGCUCAUUUUGAUUUGCUGUUAGUAUCCAAGUAACAAAGAGAUGUAUGGUCAGUGGCAUUUGGUUAGCCACUGACCCACAACUUGUUUAGUUCUCUGAUCUAAACCCUCUCAGUAGCAUACUCAUCCAGAGGUACACCACAGCUCCAACUUGAGCAAAUGAAACUGAGCUUAUGCUUAAACGAUGGAAUGAGAUGAAAUAAAAGGGAGAGAAGUGAACAUGAGGCUAUAAGAUGAUCCCCAAGUUUCAACUUAGAUGUCUGUUCCUGUUACAUGAGAUCUCCGUAAGUUAUAUAUAUAUGCUACCAACUGUAGAAAACAAGUACUUAUUAUGUUGAAAAAUUCAGUCCAACCAUUCGUGUAUAUGGAUUUUUUAAUGACCAUCAGGCAAGACACUUGCACUGCUGUAUAAUGGUAUCAUGUUUCAGGCAAGGGGCUAGAUCUAACGGCUGCAGGAGGGGACAACACAGACACCAUUUCCUUGCAUCACGAAUAAAUGGGCCAAGGAGACACAAGCAACCCAGAGGCCACACUCGUAUCAAAAAAUAAGACGGUUAGCAGAGGGAAAAGAACUUCAAAAAGGAAACAAAAAUAGGCAAUCCAAAAGGAGAAAAAUGACUGCAUGUCACAAAGCAGUAUAUCACACAUAGAAGAGCAAACAAUAACUGAUCCCGCGGAGAGCAAACAAUAACUGAACAAUAUACACACAUAUAAUAAGGUAGGGUUCACUUCAUAAUAUAGGGGAGUUUUUUUUUUGUUUUGCUUUAACACAGCCACUCGAGCAGUCAAAGACUAUAGUUUUAAAGCAUGCAUAAUAAGAAGCAUUCAGUUACAGGAAAGCGUUCAUGAACCCACACUAGGCCGAGCUCCAAAAAACUCUCGCCGAGGCACUCGACCAGAACCAUCCCCAGGAUGCUCAAGCUCCACCCAGCAAGGGCAGAGCCAUCUUCUACGACCUCACACAGGUGCAAAACGGAUGGCAAAGCGCACUCGGCCACCACAGCCUCCAAAAUGGGAAUACAACCCAAACAAACGCACACAUCUUGCUGGCAUGCAAGAACGAAAUAUAUAAUAAAGUACACGACACCCGGCCAUGUCCAGAACAUACACUAAAACGAUUAGGAGGCUAUAGAACAUGAAAGCACACACAGAAAGUAGAGCAGCAAGACAGACAGAGAUCACAACAGCAAACCUUGACGCGGCCCAACAAGCAGAAUGAAGAUGCGGCGAUGAGCUAAACGGAGAUUCUGCACCAAAUCAGCAAGAUGGAACAACAUGUAAAAUAGAAAGGGAAACAAUCAAUAUAGAACAACGGCAUGCAAAUGCAACUAUAUAGGAACUAUAAAAAACAAACCAAGUGUACCGAAAGAUAAAAAGAUCACACGCCAUCGUCAAAUAACCAGUCCAUAAAGAUCAUUAGUACAUAAGAGAUCAGAACACAGGAGAAAGCAACGAGCACUGAAAGCACACUGUGCUGCAACGGUAUUCCAAAAGAGGCGCAACGAUCGAAACAAAAGCAUCAGCGUCAGCAUAUCCUCAAUCCUCGUGCAUUUCAUCAAACACCUAACAGGCAUGCACCGAUAGAGAAGCAGAGGAGGCGCGCACUAACCUGGACAGCAAGGACAGAAUGACCCAGGCUCCUACGAAGGAGCCAACGCGAAAUCCAACAAAGCUGCGCAUGAAGGGAGCAAAUAGAAACAGACCAGAUCAGCAAAUCGUUGAAACAACGAACAACGGCAGGAAAGAACCGGAGGAGCAGAAUAGAAAGAACCUCAACCAACAGCACCAAUGGAGGAACGGAUGGCCAUGGUACAGAGCUGGAGGACAGGGCGUUCGAACAAGACGGAGCGAGGCGACGAAGAGAGCGUGCAGCGAGUGGGCGAAGCGAGCGUGCACAGAAUGAGAAGCAGAAGAAGAAGAAAUGGGGGAAAUCGAGGAGAAAAGGAGGCCCUUGCCCACCGCAACGACACGCCCAACUCGCACAGAGCGGCACUGGAAC